rnacentral:rRNA from 1 species
CCCUUAGAUGUUCUGGGCCGCACGCGUGCUACACUGAGUGGAUCAGCGGGUCAGGUUGCGCGAAAGUGUUUCCUAAUCUUUAAAUCCGCUCGUGAUGGGGAUUGACGGUUGCAAUUUUCCGUCAUGAACGAGGAAUACCUUGUAAGCGCGGGUCAUCAUCCCGCGCUGAAUACGUCCCUGCCCUUUGUACACAACGCCCGUCGCUCCUACCGAUUGAGUGGUCCGGUGAGGCUUUGGGAUCUGAGCGGAAAGAGCGUUUCGCUGUUUCUGCCCGGAAAACUCAGUCGAACCUUAUCAUUUAGAGGAAGGAGAAGUCGUAACA